AAAUUGAAGAGUUUGAUCAUGGCUCAGAUUGAACGCUGGCGGCAGGCCUAACACAUGCAAGUCGAGCGGAAACGACACUAACAAUCCUUCGGGUGCGUUAAUGGGCGUCGAGCGGCGGACGGGUGAGUAAUGCCUAGGAAAUUGCCUUGAUGUGGGGGAUAACCAUUGGAAACGAUGGCUAAUACCGCAUGAUGCCUACGGGCC
rnacentral:rRNA from 1 species